CCUACGGGGGGCAGCAGUGAGGAAUAUUGGUCAAUGGGCGCGAGCCUGAACCAGCCAAGGAGCGUGAAGGAUGAAGGCCCUACGGGUUGUAAACUUCUGUUAUAAAGGAAUAAAGUGAGGCACGUGUGCCUUUUUGUAUGUACUUUAUGAAUAAGGAUCGGCUAACUCCGUGCCAACAGCCGCGGUAAUACGGAGGAUCCGAGCGUUAUCCGGAUUUAUUGGGUUUAAAGGGAGCGUAGAUGGGUUGUUAAGUCAGUUGUGAAAGUUUGCGGCUCAACCGUAAAAUUGCAAUUGAUACUGGCAGUCUUGAGUACAGUUGAGGUAGGCGGACUUCGUGGUGUAGCGGUGAAAUGCUUAGAUAUCACGCAGAACUCCGAUUGCGAAGGCAGCUCACUGGACUGCAACUGACACUGAGGCUCGCAAGUGUGGGUAUCAAACAGGAUUAGAUACCCUAGUAGUC
rnacentral:rRNA from 1 species